UACGAAGGGGGCUAGCGUUGCUCGGAAUCACUGGGCGUAAAGGGUGCGUAGGCGGGUCUUAAGUCAGGGGUGAAAUCCUGGGAGCUCAACUCCAGAACUGCCUUUGAUACUGGCGAUCUCGAGUCCGGGAGAGGUGAGUGGAACUGCGAGUGUAGAGGUGAAAUUCGUAGAUAUUCGCAAGAACACCAGUGGCGAAGGCGGCUCACUGGCCCGGUACUGACGCUGAGGUGCG
rnacentral:rRNA from 1 species